rnacentral:lncRNA from 10 species
CUGGUCCCCAGAAAGAUCAAGGCAUGACUAGAGGACUGGGACUUCUAGCCCCUCCUCUCAACCUCUAACGAGGGGAGAAGGGCUGAAAGCUCUCAGUUGCUGGCGCAAAUUCAUAACUUCGAGAUGCAACAGCUUCAGGUCCUUAGAAUGCUCUUCCUGUAUUGCAUUCAGUCGAUCUUUCAGAAAAGCUACCAGACCGCACAGGAGGGGCAUCAAGCAGCAGAAAGAAGGUUCACAGGUAGAAAGAACUUGCCUUGAGUCUCAGAUGAGACUUUGGAAUUGAGACUUGGGACUUCUGAAUUAACGCUGGAAUAAGCCUUUAGUGUACUAUUGAGAAGUGAUAAUUAUAUUUUGCAGUGCGAGAAGAACAAGAUUUGGGGUCCAAGGGUGGAAUGAUAUAGUUUGGAUGUUUGUCCCCUCCAAAUUUCAUGUUGAAAUGUGAUCUCCAUUGUUGGAGGUAAGGCCUGGUGGGAGC